rnacentral:rRNA from 1 species
GAUGAACGCUGACAGAAUGCUUAACACAUGCAAGUCAACUUGAACUUCGGUUUGGGUGGCGGACGGGUGAGUAACGCGUAAAGAACUUGCCUCACAGCUAGGGACAACAUUUGGAAACGAAUGCUAAUACCUGAUAUUAUGAUUAUAUGGCAUCGUAUAAUUAUGAAAGCUAUAUGCGCUGUGAGAGAGCUUUGCGUCCCAUUAGCUAGUUGGCGAGGUAACGGCUCACCAAGGCGAUGAUGGGUAGCCGGCCUGAGAGGGUGAUCGGCCACAAGGGGACUGGGACACGGCCCUUACUCAUUCGGGGAGCAGCAGUGGGAAAUAUUGGACAAUGGACCAAGAGUCUGAUCCAGCACUUCUGUGUGCACGAUGAAUUUUUUCGGAAUGUAAAGUGCUUUCAGUUGCGAAGAAAAAAAUGACGGUACCAACAGAAGAAGCGCCGGCUAACUACGUG